CUUUAAUUAGGGUACUCUGAGAUAUACAUAAGCUGUUUAGUAGGUGGUUGACUAUCGAUUUACAGCAGAUGUUUCAACUCCCACUGGACACAUCCAGAAUCUCACUUAUCAUAAACAGGUGAUGUCUGUCUUCCUCCUUUUUACCUCUGGAUCUACAUCAGGCAGUGUUCAAAAACAGCUUCUCAAUCCUAAUUGCAUGGACUGUGAAAAUUACACUGCUGCAGCAGGAUCCCUGACACUAACAAC